UACGGUUUUAUUUCAAUUUAUGCAGUUAUAAUUUAAAAAACAGCCAAAGAAUAAAUCUGACAGUGAUACAAGGUAUCCUGAGAGGCCGGAGAAUGGAGUGUAUUUUAACGUCUUUUCUUAAAUCUCACAUAAACAGAGCAAAGUGUCUUUGGAUUAAGCAGCUAAACAUAAAGAAGAUAAACAAGGAUGUCUACGUUUGUUCAAAGUUGGUUGCCAGAUCGUCAGUGCUGCUUUGCGCUACCUGAAACUUUAAUCCUGGAACUUGAUUUUGUACAGGACCUCAAACCGCUGAAGACAGCAGAGAAACAAGUGUGUAUGGAGGACCAUAAAGACUGAGCAAGCCAUGAAGCCAUGGCCACAUUAUUUCUUCUCUCACAUUGACAACCGUCGUUUCAUCCAAAAAAAAAUAUGUGCUUUGUACUAUGCCAGCGAACUGGACUACUCUUCCUGUGCAUCAUGGUCCGUGGUCGACUGGACAACGUGAAACCAUUGCAGUUUACACAAAGGACAGGAGAGACAGAAGCCUCGUCUAUGAAGGCUUCAUUUGUCCAUCUGCUCCUGAAACGGUGCCUAUGUCGUUCUUGCAGCAACCACCAAGGCAGAAAGGCUUUGCAAAGAAGUAUGCAAAACUGCUAGAGAAGAUCAAAGUCAAAGAGGAAGAGGCUGAAGCUCAGAGAAAGAUCAUCCCAGAAGAUGAAGAUUCUGCGGCAAGCAGCAAACUGGAGCAAGGUGUUGUUGAAAAAGAGUCAAGUGCAGUGCCAGGCCGUGUCGAUACAGCUGAUGAGUUAAAGACAGAGGCCUCCAGUGACAGUAAAAACAAACCUGAGAAAAUAUAUCUAUCCGG